ensembl:lncRNA
AGCUGGUUCUGCUGAGUCUGAGGACUAUUUCACAGAGAAAAGAAAAACACUUCAAAAGAAUAACUCUUGAACAGAAUCAAAUCGCAGUCACUGGCAAGUGUUUAACAAAAUUACCGGGGGAGCGAAAGUGAAAUCCAUCGAUGUAAUGCUGUCUAUGCAGCAGCCAUAGCACGAACCGUGACCCUGCAUCGCAGCUGUGGUCCCGAGCACUGUCUGGCAGGAGCCAACACGAAACGUCGCUGACACAGAGCACACAACAGACAGAACAUUGUUGCAAGAUGAAGAUGUCCGGUGUCUUGGCACAGUGCAGCACUAUACAAUGGUUCUUUUGCAAAUCCUACUACUGCGCUGUAUGAAAGAUCUUUCUAAGGUUGCCACGUCUGGGGCAAUGUUCCGUUUUCUGGAGGCCAUGGUGUGCUGCAGGCACUUGCCAAGGAAGGAGAUGGAAAAGCUGUGCCUUUGCCAGUGCUUAAAGAAUGAAUCUGAAGACUGCUGCGGUUCAGUGGACCACUACUGUGAGCAGCUCCAGUGUGACUGACAGGUGGUUUUUGAAAAUGAGCUCAACUUCAGAUUUACCCUAGUAUUGUCCAUCAUGAAUCGUGAGUCUCACAGCAUUUGGUUAGUUAACAACAAAAGCAGCAAUUCUAUUUCAAACUUCUGACUUCAGAGUUUCCGAAGUUCAGCAAAAAAUGAGGUAGAAUCAAACUCUGCAGCGACUGCAUGCAUCCAGUGCCAGGCUCCGAAGGAGCUGCGUAGGGUCACUGCUUUAGCACAGAGAUUUCAAACUGAAAGAGGGAGAUUUAGACUGAAUAUAAGGAAGAAGCUUU